rnacentral:rRNA from 1 species
UACGUAGGGUGCAAGCGUUAAUCGGAAUUACUGGGCGUAAAGCGUGCGCAGGCGGUGAUGUAAGACAGUUGUGAAAUCCCCAGGCUUAACCUGGGAACUGCAUUCGAGACUGCAUUGCUAGAGUAUGGGAGAGGGAAGUGGAAUUUCCGGUGUAGCGGUGAAAUGCGUAGAUAUCGGAAGGAACAUCAGUGGCGAAAGCGACUUCCUGGACCAAUACUGACGCUCAUGUGCGAAAGCGUGGGGAGCAAACAGG